rnacentral:rRNA from 1 species
CCCUUAGAUGUUCUGGGCCGCACACGCGCUACACUGAAGGAGGCAGCGUGUACUCCUGGAUCGAAAGAUUUGGGUAACCCGCGAAUCUCCUUCGUGCUAGGGAUUGAGGUUUGCAAUUAUCCUUCAUGAACGAGGAAUUCCCAGUAAGUGCAAGUCAUAAGCUUGCGCUGACUACGUCCCUGCCCUUUGUACCCACCGCCCGUCGCUACUACCGAUUGAAUGAUUUAGUGAGGACUUCGGACUGGGACCGAUGCGGCUUUCGGGCUGCGUCGGUAUUCUGGAAAGAUGUCCAAACUGUAUCAUUUAGAGGAAGUAAAAGUCGUAACA